rnacentral:misc_RNA from 1 species
UUUGUGAAGACCCUUACUGGGAAAACAAUCACCUUGGAGGUUGAAAGCUUUGAUACAAUUGAUAAUGUCAAAGCAAAAAAUUCAGGACAAGGAGGGCAUUCCACCUGGCCAGCAGAGGUUGAUCUUUGCUGGAAAGCAGCUUGAAGAUGGGAGGACUCUUGCUGACUAUAACAUCCGGAAGCAAUCCACUUUACAUUUGGUUCUUCGACUAAGAGGUGGUAUGCAAAUAUUUGUGAAAACACUCACUGGGAAAACCAUCACGUUGGAAGUAGAGAGUUCGGACACCAUAGACAAUGUGAAGGCAAAAAUUCAAGACAAAGAGGGAAUCCCGCCAGAUCAGCAGAGAUUAAUCUUUGCUGGUAAACAGAUUGAAGAUGGCCGUACGUUGGCUGAUUAUAAUAUCCAAAAGGAAUCAACUUUACAUUUGGUGCUUCGUCUGCGUGGUGGAAUGCAGAUUUUUGUCAAGACACUGACAGGAAAGACCAUUACUUUGGAGGUGGAAAGCUCGGACAUCAUUGAUAAUGUUAAGGCAAAGAUUCAGGACAAGGAGGGAAUCCCUCCAGACCAACAGAGGUUGAUCUUUGCUGGGAAGCAGCUGGAAGAUGGACGAACCCUGGCAGAUAACAAUAUUCAGAAGGAGUCCACUUUGCAUCUUGUCCUCCGCCUCCGUGGUGGUUUCUGAGUCAUUCUGGGGGAUGCCUGUCGGUCAUCCUAUCCAGUUUCAAACUUUCUUCUAAGAAAAAUGGUGUUUUUAAAGAACUAUAGAGAAUUUUGCCAUUGAGGAGUG